UACGGGGGGGGGCAAGCGUUGCUCGGAUUCAUUGGGCGUAAAGGGUGCGUAGGCGGCGCGGUAAGUCGGGUGUGAAAUCUCGGAGCUUAACUCCGAAACUGCAUUCGAUACUGCCGUGCUUGAGGACUGGAGAGGAGACUGGAAUUUACGGUGUAGCGGUGAAAUGCGUAGAUAUCGUAAGGAAGACCAGUGGCGAAGGCGGGUCUCUGGACAGUUCCUGACGCUGAGGCACGAAGGCUAGGGGAGCAAACGGG
rnacentral:rRNA from 1 species